AAUGGGGGAAACCCUGACGCAGCAACGCCGCGUGAGUGAUGAAGGCCCUCGGGUCGUAAAGCUCUGUCGAGUGGGAAGAAACAGUAAUGGUUAAUAUCCAUUGCCUUGACGGUACCACUAAAGGAAGCACCGGCUAACUCCGUGCCAGCAGCCGCGGUAAUACGGGGGGUGCAAGCGUUAUUCGGAAUUAUUGGGCGUAAAGGGUGCGUAGGCGGUUUUGUAAGUCAGAUGUGAAAUCCCGGGGCUUAACCUCGGAACUGCAUUUGAUACUGCAAGACUUGAGUAUGGGAGAGGGAAGCGGAAUUCCUGGUGUAGAGGUGAAAUUCGUAGAUAUCAGGAGGAACACCGGUGGCGAAGGCGGCUUCCUGGACCAAUACUGACGCUGAGGCACGAAGGCGUGGGGAGCAAA
rnacentral:rRNA from 1 species